UUUCAUUUGUUAUGAAUAUAAAACAUACAUUAACUUUAGGGUAUGAUAAUAAAAGGCGGCCGGCCUCACUUAUUCACUUUCGACAACGAAAGCUUUCAGCACAGGCACAACCUAAAAAAAAAUGCACAGGGUAGGAAAAUGAAGAGGGUCGAGCCUGAAAGUUGAUUCACGACUCUUACGAAUUCAUUAAUGAUCCUUCCGCAGGUUCACCUACGGAAA
rnacentral:misc_RNA from 1 species